rnacentral:misc_RNA from 1 species
AAGUCGUAACAAGGUUUCCGUAGGUGAACCUGCGGAAGGAUCAUUACCAAAUCCAAAACUUUAUAAACCCACCUUGUGCACUGAGAAACUGAAUCUUUGCCUUUUCCCACACCAAAUCUUCAUAGAAAAGGGUUUUUCCUUUUCUUUGAGGAGGGAAAGGGUGAGGAGUUUUUUUUCUUCCCCUUCAAAACGGGAGGAAAGAGACAAUUAACUCUUAACAGUCAUGUUAAAGAAUUUUUUUACAUGUUUGAAUGCUUAUAGCAAACAAAAAACAUAAAAAUGACAACUUUUAACGGUGGAUCUCUUGGCUCGU